GCACAAUGAACACAAUAAGAUUGGAACAGUUAAUCGCAACCACAACAAGCUAUUCUUAGGCAGUUGGCAACUUGGCAUAGAAAGCUUACCAUAUUAUUCCUUGUUUAUUAUACUCAAAUUUCCCUUAUUCUUUCUUUUUCUUCUUUCAUUAAAAAGAAAAAUUAAAAUUAAAAUCUUUAAACGCCAUAUAUACUAAUUUCUCCCCAAUAAUCAAAAACAAAAAUUCAUAACAACAAAUUAAAUUCUCAAAGCAUUGAGAAACAAAAAACAAAAAAAAAAAUCUCUGUUUUUUCUCUAUUCAAUCCUCCAUCGAAGGGAUCAUGAGAUUCAAGAAAGGGACCAAAGUAGAAGUCUUGAGCAAAAAGGAGGUGCCAUCAGGCUCCUGGCAUUGUGCUGAAAUAAUCAGUGGCAAUGGCCACAACUAUAAGGUUAGAUAUGAAGCCUAUUCCAAUGCCGUUGACAAGACAAUUGUGGAGAUGGUAUCUAGGAAAGCUGUUAGACCUUGUCCUCCUGCAUUAGUAGUUUCAGAUAAUUGGGUUCCUGGUGAUGUUGUUGAGGUUUUUGACAAUUUUUCUUGGAAGAUGGCAACAAUUUUAGCGAUUUUGGAGAAAAAGUAUGUUUUGGUUAGGUUGCUUGGAUCAUCUCUGGAGUUUAGGGUCAGUAAAUUUGACAUCCGUGUGAGACAAUCAUGGCAAGACAAUGAGUGGGUUGUGAUUGGAAAGGGUUCUGGUAGUUGUGUAGAUCUUAAACAUGGUGAAAAUUCCACUCUUAGAUACAAGCAAAAUUCUAGCUCCCAAUUUCAAAAUACUAUUAGAAGGACAAAUAGGCAUGUCAGGGAUGAAUGUGGUCCUGUUAACACAAAGGUUAAUUACAGAGAUUCUGUUAUUGCUUCCUCAAAGACUCUAAAGAGAGGAUGCUACUCUCAGGUUGAAGCUCAUGCUGCUGCUGGACAGAAGCUUAGAGCAGUUGAGAGAAAUGAAAGAUUGUAUCGACUUGUUGCUGCAAAUCCAUCGGUUGUUGAACAGGUAGAUGCUGUUGCUUUCCCAAGAGAUAUGUUGGGUGAAAAAUACGUACAUUCUUCUCUUAACGACAAAACUGGCUUGUCUGAAGUGCAUGGAGACUGGAGAAAACCAAAUGGUGCUGUUGGAUGUUAUUUUGCAGAAACCAAUGAUGCUGAUAGUGUUACAUGCUCUGUUGGUAGUUGUAGCGUAAGUAGUAACAAUUUCUGUAGGUUGCCUCAUUGCGUUUCCACAGGUCCUAUUGAAGUUGUUGAUGGUCAAUGUAGUGAUGCUGAAUCUUUCUGUCCAAGGGGAGACGAGGAAGGAAAUUGUCUCCUUCCUACGAAAGAGGAACUGGCUGCCUUGAUUCAUAAGAUAAAGUUACGUGCAUACCGAUGCACUUUGGAGGCCUUGCACGCAUCAGGGCCUUUAAGUUGGGAACAAGAAGCUUUGGUGACAAAUCUUCGUCUUUCACUUCAUAUAUCUAAUGAUGAACAUUUGAUGGAGCUAAGAAACUUAAUUUCCUCUGAUAGUAACAUUCCUAUAAGAUAACCAGGAGUCUCUCUAGUUUUUUUUUUCUUUAUUUUUUUCCGUUCUCUAUUUUUUCCCUUAGGAAUAGACUUGGAUAAAUAAUUACACUGGUGACUCCCUCAAUUGUAUGAAGCUUGAUGAAAUAUGCUAUCAAUUUUCCUCAUUUAGGUAUAGAGCAUAUAGUGAUAUAUUUUGAAAUGAAUGUAACGCAACAGAAACUGAAGACCAUUAAAUGUUUCUGAGCUAAGCAUUGUGUAUCAGUUAUUCUAUCCCUUCUUGUCUCCCUAUUUUGUAUGUUUAUUUUAGCGAACCAAAUCUUUGAGAAAUAGCAUACCGGGAAUUUGCUAACAAUUGAGCAGAAAUCAAGAAUGCAUUUUUCUGAAUCUUUCUCUUCUGUAUAUUUCUUGCAUCUGUUAGAUGCACAAUUGAUAUUUGACAAAUCUUCUGGUGACAUUUUAUUGCUUAGUUAUUUAAAACAAGAUUGUCAUGUGAUAAAAUCCCUCUGGUUGUUUCUGAUUAAGUGUUUGUGUUUAUGUUUUUCUUGAUAUUUGAUUAGUACUAAGCAAAGAUGUUUCAAGCUUUCAAUUUGGUGAGAAUGUUCUCGGGGUAUAGUAAUAUGUUUGAAGCAUAUUCAUUCUCAGAUUGAGGAAAUUAUUGAUGCUUCCCCCUGUAUUUUCCAGGGUUGAAGAAGGAGGCUUAGACACCUUUCUUCCAAGUGUCUGAACUCUGAAGAUGAUUUUUGGGUCUCAUGCGAGCCCUAGAUAUCUGUGUUCCUACCUGAAUCUUGUGGCUGCCAUGGGAUUGACCUAAUAUCUGGAAUUCUCCAAAAGGGAGGGUUAUUCAUAAGCUGAAUCAAAUGCGUUCUUUUCCAUGGAAAAAGGAAGAGAGGCGAUGUGAAAGGUGUGGAAGUGAGCUGGUAUCCUUGGCUUGGAUUUGGGGCAAAACGUUAAAGUUUGGUACAUUGCUUGUAUCUUGAAACAUAUAUGGACACUUUUCUGUAUUUCCGGAUCCAUUUGCAUUGCUUGGAUUUUGGCAGGUUAAGACUCUUACUAUGUAGUUGGAGUUGGAAGAAAAUCUUGAAAAUAGGGGAGAUUGCUAGAAACUAUUCAAGAUACUGCUGCAGAUGGAGUUAUGUAGCAAAGCUCUGGGAAUUUUUUAACCUGCUGAUACUUAGAACGGGUAGAGGAACAAAUUACCAAAGUUGCCUUUGGAAUAAGUUGAUAUGUUCCCCAAGUGUGUGCUAAAAUUUUCUUUGAUAACCUGAUUAGCAAUCUUGGACAUUUGAGCAGCUUUUCCAGCCUUAUAGCCUUUCCAGCCUUUCCAUCAUGCGAAUGUAGUGAAUAGUGAUCACCUAUUUUUCUCUUGUAGUUAAUUCAAAGCCGAUCUACCAGAUGCUACUGCAAGAAGACCUGGUAUUUGUUUAGAUGAGCUUAGCUGGGUGAUCAGUACUUUAAAAGGGAAGUCAUCCAGUCUACUUUUUACUUGGAAUUGCAUUGACUGCAUGCAUAUUUUGGAAAAUACCGACCAAACUAGUUGCUAAUUUUUGGUGUUUCCUUCAUGAACUUUGUAAUGGAAGGGUUUCUGCUUACUUCGGAUGUUGAAAUGGAACUCAAAUCAUCCAAGAAUGAAAGGGUUGCUUCUGCUUUAUUAAAACAUAUUGGAAGAUUCUUUUUAGUGGCUACAAAUUUUGUUCUUAUGUCAACUUUCCCUUUAAAAAUUCCAAUCAUUUCUUAACAUGGGAUCCAAUAAGCAUAUGAUGCUUUUAAGCUUUAACUUUUGCUCUUAGGGCUGAUGAGUAUAGUUUUUUUUUUUUUUUAUUGUUGUCUACUCUCAGAAUUUCAUGUCCCCUUCUCGAGGAUAGCUCGAUCCCCGUUGUGCUGUUUUGUUGUAGUGACAAACGUGCCAAAGAUGCAAAGGCGUCUCUUUACACUCCUUUCCUCAUUCUCUCUUACUCGAGAUUUUGUUUCAGGCUAUUUGGUUGGGUCACUCAGCUAACCUACUGAAGUUAUUACAAUCUUGUGCUUGCUUUAGAAUUUGAUUAUUUUGCCUGCGAACGAAGCUCAACAAAGAGGCUUAUGUCAGAAACAAAUGCAAUUGCCAGACGUUGGGAAAGAUGCAAUUGAUAAGGGUUGGUAGUUUGAAGGUGGAAGUAUUGAUAUUCCUGCAUUUGCAGUAUGCUUCUCUUCUGUUGCAUUGCAUUGGAAAAACACUUCCCAUUUGUCACGGCAGACCUAUCAACAUGCUAAAUGUCCAUACUAGAGCAGGCAGUUCAUAUUUUAAAGUGUUGUGUUAUAUUUCUUUUCGUGUUAUAAUCGUGUCCUUCUAUUUACUAGUUAUAUUGUACUAUGUUAUACUAUUUUAUGACUAGAAUUUGGAUUAUAUUACAAUAAUGUAAUGCAAAGUAAAAAUACUUAUAAAAUUUGAAAAUAA